CCAGCCCAGCCAUUGAUACCACUGCCAACCUGAAACGGCAACGAGCAUCCAAUGUAAAGUUUCCUACUAAAAGGUAAGCCAUAUUCUGCUUCCCUACCAAAUUAUGUGGAUUUUGUCGUUGAAAUAAUAUUUUCCCAUAUAUUUUUUUUGUUUAGGUUUUGGACCAAACACCUUCUUUUCUUGUUUUUGUUAGAUUUUGCAAUAUUCAGUUUUUACAAUUUAUGUAAUUAAUGGUUAUUUUGGGUGACAGAUGCAUCAAAUAGGAAGAAAUGAAGAUGUCGCUCCUGCUUCUGCUGUGUACCUGGCACGCUUGCCACAUACAGUGCAUGAUAUUAUCCAAAGUUGAUGUUCGCUUCAGUUGAGUUUGGAAGGAAAUAUAGAAGGCACGUAAGGAACAAGGCCAUCAAGGACUCAAGCAGGACAUACAUUGCACAGCAUCACAGUCUUCAUAGUUAGCUGUUCGAAGCUGAAAUAGAGGAUGUUUGCUUUAUGGAUUCUGGAUAAGAAAGAUUACCUAAAAAAUGAGCUGCCUCAUGUGAAGCAAUUCUUUCCUGG